rnacentral:rRNA from 1 species
GAUGAACGCUGGCGGCGUGCCUAAUACAUGCAAGUCGAGCGAACAGACGAGGAGCUUGCUCCUCUUACGUUAGCGGCGGACGGGUGAGUAACACGUGGAUAACCUACCUAUAAGACUGGGAUAACUUCGGGAAACCGGAGCUAAUACCGGAUAACAUGUUGAACCGCAUGGUUCAACAGUGAAAGACGGUCUUGCUGUCACUUAUAGAUGUAUCCGCGCCGCAUUAGCUAGUUGGUAAGGUAACGGCUUACCAAGGCAACGAUGCGUAGCCGACCUGAGAGGGUGAUCGGCCACACUGGAACUGAGACACGGGCCAGACUCCUAAGGGAGGCAGCAGUAGGGAAUCUUCCGCAAUGGGCGAAAGCCUGAAGGAGCAACGCCGCGUGAGUGAAGAAGGUCUUCGGAUCGUAAAACUCUGUUAUUAGGGAAGAACAAAUGUGUAAGUAACUAUGCACGGCUUGACGGUACCUAAUCAGAAAGCCACGGCUAACUACGUG